UACGUAGGGGGCUAGCGUUGUCCGGAAUCAUUGGGCGUAAAGCGCGUGUAGGCGGUCCGGUAAGUCCGCUGUGAAAGUCGGGGGCUCAACCCUCGGAGGCCGACCGAUACUGUCGGGCUAGAGUCCGGAAGAGGCGAGUGGAAUUCCUGGUGUAGCGGUGAAAUGCGCAGAUAUCAGGAGGAACACCAAUGGCGAAGGCAGCUCGCUGGGACGGUACUGACGCUGAGACGCGAAAGCGUGGGGAGCAAACAGG
rnacentral:rRNA from 1 species